CCCUCGAUAGCUCAGUUGGUAGAGCGGUGGACUGUAGUUGGCAGAGAUCUCUAAACAGACAUCCAUAGGUCACUGGUUCGAAUCCGGUUCGAGGGA